GCUGUUUGUGGAGAGGUGAUGUACCAUUGGCAGCCUCGCCCGAUGGCCAGCAAGAAGCCGAGUCUCUCAUUCUGACAGCCUCGGGGAUCUGAAAUCUAUCAACAACCACUCAAGGUGUUUCACAAUCUAAUCCAAACUGACCUGGCCACUCCAACCUGGAGAGAAGGGGAGGGAACCAUGAUGAAUGUGGACACCAGUUGAGACACUUGUGAAAACACCCAGGAGGUCACGAGGGCGAGCUCUAAUCCCAUAUGACCGUGUCCUCAGAAGAGGAGCUUAGGACACAGACACAGAGGGAAGGCUGUGUGAGGACACAGGGAGAAGAUGGCAUCUACAAGCCAAGGAGAGAGCCCUUGGAUCAAAGCAAGCCUACUGAUGCCUCGAUCUCAGACUUCCAGCUUCCAAAGUUGUGAGGAAAUAAAUGUCUGUGGCAUAAGUCCACUCAGCCUGCGGUGCUUUGUUAUGGCGGCCCGAGCAAACUCAUACAUUGGUGUCCACCCCAAAGAGCUGUUGUGUGCUUUAAAGGAGAUAAUGUGUGUAGAAGAACAUUCACUCAAAUUGUCCACAAAAAUUCAAUGAGUGCCUGCUACAUAUUGCUGUCUCUGAUGCACAAAAAUACAAAUGCAACGUUGGUGAA